rnacentral:rRNA from 1 species
UGUGGCGACUAUACUGGGCUUGUCCCACUGGUUCCCAUUCCGAACACAACAGUGAAAUAGCCCAAGGCCGAUGAUAUCCCCUUUUAGGGGAGAAAGUAGGUAGUCGCCACAA